GUGCUUGCUUUGGCAACACAUAUAUUAAAAUUGGAAUGAUACAGAGAAGAUUAGUAUGGCCCCCAUGCAAGGAUGACAAGCAAAUUCGUGAAGCAUUUCGUAUUUUU